AACGCAGGUGGCAAGCGUUAUCCGGAUUUACUGGGCGUAAAGCGUGUGCAGGCGGGUGGGCAUGUGGGGUAUGAAAUCGCCAGGCUAAACCUGGCGGGGUUAUGCCAGACUGGCCGUCUGGAGUGCGAGAGAGGGGCGUGGAAUUCCGGGUGUAGUGGUGAAAUGCGCAGAUAUCAGGAGGAACACCAAUGGCGAAGGCAGCUCGCUGGAACGGUACUGACGCUGAGGCGCGAAAGCGUGGGGAGCGAACAGG
rnacentral:rRNA from 1 species